CAGCCGCCGCGGGAAUACGAAGGGGGCUAGCGUUGUUCGGAUUUACUGGGCGUAAAGCGCACGUAGGCGGAUCGAUCAGUCAGGGGUGAAAUCCCAGAGCUCAACUCUGGAACUGCCUUUGAUACUGUCGAUCUGGAGUAUGGAAGAGGUGAGUGGAAUUCCGAGUGUAGAGGUGAAAUUCGUAGAUAUUCGGAGGAACACCAGUGGCGAAGGCGGCUCACUGGUCCAUUACUGACGCUGAGGUGCGAAAGCGUGGGGAGCAAACAGGAUUAGAUACCCCAGUAGUCCCUGUCUCUUAUAC
rnacentral:rRNA from 1 species